rnacentral:rRNA from 1 species
GGCGGAGCCCAGGGUGCCGCGAGCGUAGUAAUCUUUAUCUCGCUUUUGCAGUUCCCUGUGUUGCCGGCCGUAAAACCCCCCC